rnacentral:rRNA from 1 species
GAUGAACGCUGGCGGCGUGCUUAACACAUGCCAGUCGAACGGAAAGGCCCUGCUUUUGUGGGGUUCUCGAGUGGCGAACGGGUGAGUAACACGUGAGUAACCUGCCCUUGACUUUGGGAUAACUUCAGGAAACUGGGGCUAAUACCGGAUAGGAGCUCCUGAUGCAUGGUGGGGGUUGGAAAGUUUCGGCGGUUGGGGAUGGACUCGCGGGUUAUCAGCUUGUUGGGGGGGUAGUGGCUUACAAAGGCUUUGACGGGUAGCCGGCAUGGGAGGGUGGCCGGCCACCAGAGGACUGAGAUAGGGCCCAGACUCCUACGGGAGGCAGCAGUGGAGAAUAUUGCGCAAUGGGCGGGAGCCUGAUACAGCAACGCCGCGUGCGGGAUGACGGCCUUCGGGUUGUAAACCGCUUUCGCCUGUGACGAAGCGUGAGUGACGGUAAUGGGUAAAGAAGCACCGGCUAACUACGUG